rnacentral:tRNA from 1 species
GCUAUAGCCAAACGGUAAGGCAGUGGACUCUGACUCCAUCAUUGUACAGGUUCGAAUCCUGUUAGCG